rnacentral:rRNA from 1 species
GAUGGGCCCGCGUCUGAUUAGCUAGUUGGUAGGGUAACGGCCUACCAAGGCGACGAUCAGUAGCCGGCUUGAGAGAGUGACCGGCCACAUUGGGACUGAGACACGGCCCAAACUCCUACGGGAGGCAGCAGUGGGGAAUAUUGCACAAUGGGGGAAACCCUGAUACAGCGACGCCGCGUGAGUGAACAAGUAUUUCGGUAUGUAAAGCUCUUUUGGCGGGGACGAUAAUGACGGUACCCGCAGAAUAAGCCCCGGCUAACUUCGUGCCAGCAGCCGCGGUAAUACGAAGGGGGCUAGCGUUGUUCGGAAUCACUGGGCGUAAAGCGCACGCAGGCGGAUUGAUAAGUCAGGGGUGAAAUCCCGGAGCUCAACUUCGGAAUUGCCUUUGAUACUGUCUAUCUUCGAGUUCGGGAGAGGUUGGCGGAAUUCCUAGUGUAGAGGUGAAAUUCGUAGAUAUUAGGAAGAACACCAGUGGCGAAAGCGGCCAACUGGCCCGAUACUGACGCUCAUGUGCGAAAGCGUGGGGAGCAAACAGGAUUAGAUACCCUGGUAGUCCACGCUGUAAACUAUGGAUGCUAGCCGUUGGGGAGCUUGCUCUUCAGUGCGCAGCUAACGUCUUAAGCAUCCCGCUGGGAGUACGGUCGCAGAUAAA